rnacentral:misc_RNA from 1 species
GACUGCGGAGGAUCAUUAUCAAAAAUAAUUCAUUAUUUUUUGAAAUCUUUUUCCNAUUUCCCUUGUCUAUCUACUCCAUGUUGCUUCCACUAGACAGGUAUAUAUUAUUAAAAAUUGGAUUAAAAAUCUAAUUUUCAAUAAUAUUUGCCCUUUAAUUCCUUAACGGGGUUGAAGAAUAGUCGGUGGAUAGCCUUUAUUAAGAUAAAAACUUUUUUUUUAAAAACAUAGUCUGAUUAAACUAGUAUUUGUUUUAAAUAAAAAAAAAACUUUCAACAACGGAUCUCUAGGCUCUUGCAUCGAUGAANAACGCAGUGAAAUGUGAUAAGUAAUGUGAAUUGCANAAUCUCGUGAAUCAUUGAAUCUUUGAACGCACAUUGCGCCCAAUGGUAUUCCACUGGGCAUACCUGUUUGAGUGUCAAAAGCCUCAUACUUAUCA